UACAGAGGGUGCAAGCGUUAAUCGGAGUUACUGGGCGUAAAGGGCGCGUAGGCGGUUAUAUAAGUUAGAUGUGAAAUCCCUGGGCUUAACCUAGGAACUGCAACUAAUACUGUAUGGCUAGAGUAUUGUAGAGGGUAGUGGAAUUUCCGGUGUAGCGGUGAAAUGCGUAGAGAUCGGAAGGAACGCCGGUGGGCGAAAGCGACCUGCCGGACCUCUUCUGACGCUGAGGCGCGAAAGCCAGGGGAGCAAACGGG
rnacentral:rRNA from 1 species